rnacentral:rRNA from 1 species
AGUGAACGCUGGCGGUAUGCCUAACACAUGCAAGUCGAACGGCAGCACAGUCAUAGCUUGCUCUUACGGUUGGCGAGGGGCGGACGGGUCAGGGAAACAUCGGCAUCUACUUUUUCGUGGGGGACAACGUAGGGAAACAUACGCUAAUACCGCAUACGACCUACGGGUGAGAGCAGAGGACCUUCGGACCUUGCGCGGGUGGAUGAGCGGAUGUCGGAUUAGCUAGUUGGCGGGGUAAAGGCCCACCAAGGCGACGAUCCGUAGCUGGUCUGAGAGGAUGACCAGCCACACUGGAACUGAGACACGGCCCAGACUCCUACGGGAGGCAGCAGUGGGGAAUUUUGGACAAUGGGCGCAAGCCUGAUCCAGCCAUACCGCGUGGGUGAAGAAGGCCUUCGGGUUGUAAACCCCUUUUGUUGGGAAAGAAAAGCAGUAGGCUAAUACCCCGCUGUGCUGACGGUACCGAAAGAAUAAGCACCGGCUAACUUCGUG